GGUCAGCAGACUGGACUGCCCAGGCCCUGUGCGGAAUCGGGCUGGGUUAUGCCCUCACUGCCUUCGCUGUAGGGACGCCACUGUGAACACUGUCCUCCACAUCACGUGGUGCCUCCAGUGAGAAGCUCAUGGAAGAAAGUCUUUCAGAACUGUCCUGGGAAAAUACUUAUGGAUUGGCUCUCUUUUCUGCUUUGGCUGCCAGGAAACUGGAAGUCAAACUUGAAACUGUACCGUAACGACCAUGUGAGACUUUAUGGUCUGGGUUUUGGUGCUCUGUGUUCUUUCCCCAUAUUAAUCAAGGAUCCUUAUGUAUGUUUUCUCUCACUCUCACUCAUUAUGCAAAUUUCCCCAGUCAUCAGAAAUAAUUGAAACAAAAAAUAAAGUGUCCGGAAUUGUAGACGUUCAUGUGUGAGAUGAGGAAACUGAGGCAUGAGAAGAUUAAAUGGCUUGCUUCAUGGCAUGCAGCAAGUGAGUGGCAAAGCUAGGCCUGGAAGGUGGGACGGUUUGACUCCAGAAACCAAGGUCCGAACCAUCAGGCUUUCGGCUUCCCAGGAAACAAGGGCAAUGGGCAGAACCUACCUGAGCCUCAGGCAGCGCGUCUCUGCUUACAGUGGAAGUGAGAUGUGUGUAGGGUCAGAGUACCCCUCUCUGAGGAAGUUGCAUUUAGAGUCUUUGAAUGAAGAGCAAGAGCUGACCAGAUGAAGAGAGGAGAAGACUGCCCAGGCAGGAGGGAUACAUGUGCAAAGGCACUGCAGUGAGAAGAAUCUUGUAGGUAUCUCUGCUAGAAUGUGAGAACUGCACCAUUAGUAUCUAGCAGAGUAGCUGGGGAA